UGGUCGUCCCCUGUCCCUUUUGGAUGG
rnacentral:sRNA from 1 species